rnacentral:rRNA from 1 species
CCUACGGGAGGCAGCAGUGGGGAAUAUUGCGCAAUGGGCGAAAGCCUGACGCAGCGACGCCGCGUGAGGGAUGAAGGUCUUCGGAUCGUAAACCUCUGUCAGCAGGGAAGAACGGUCACUGUGCUAAUCAGCAGUGAAUUGACGGUACCUGCAAAGGAAGCACCGGCUAACUCCGUGCCAGCAGCCGCGGUAAUACGGAGGGUGCGAGCGUUAAUCGGAAUUACGGGGAGUAAAGCGCUCGUAGGCGGUAGGUCAAGUCAAUGGUGAAAUCCCCGCGCUCAACGUGGGAACUGCCUUUGAAACUGGCAAACUGGAGUGUGGGAGAGGAUAGUGGAAUUCCAGGUGUAGGAGUGAAAUCCGUAGAUAUCAGGAGGAACAUCAGUGGCGAAGGCGAUUAUCUGGCACAUAACUGACGCUGAGGAGCGAAAGCGUGGGUAGCAAACAGGAUUAGAUACCCUGGUAGUC